CGAUUUAUUGAGUUGAUUACGAUGGUAUCGGUCUAGCUCUCGAAGUUCCGCUGUAAUCGGAACCGGAACCGGAAUCGCCUUGAUAAUAGU